rnacentral:rRNA from 1 species
CCCUUAGAUGCUCUGGGCCGCACGCGCGCUACACUGGUCGAUGCAACGAGUUUCUUUCCUUGGCCGACAGGCCUGGGCAAUCUUUGAACAUCGAUCGUGAUCGGGAUAGAUUCUUGUAAUUUUUGAUCUUAAACGAGGAAUUCCUAGUAAACGCAAGUCAUCAGCUUGCAUUGAUUACGUCCCUGCCCUUUGUACACACCGCCCGUCGCACCUACCGAUUGAAUGGUCCGGUGAAAUCUCCGGACUGGCGUGAGUCGGAGCAAUCUGACAAACACCGGAAAGUUGAUUAAACCUUAUCAUUUAGAGGAAGGUGAAGUCGUAACA